GGCUGGUCUGAAGGUAUGGGUUAUCUCAAUUGAUUGUUCACAGUCAGUUACAGAUUGAUCUCUUCAUUCUCUUUCCUCCCUUUCCACUACUGCACUUGACUUCCACCC
rnacentral:Y_RNA from 1 species